rnacentral:rRNA from 1 species
GAUGAACGCUGGCGGCGUGCCUAAUACAUGCAAGUCGAGCGAACGGACGAGAAGCUUGCUUUUCUGAUGUUAGCGGCGGACGGGUGAGUAACACGUGGAUAACCUACCUAUAAGACUGGGAUAACUUCGGGAAACCGGAGCUAAUACCGGAUAAUAUUUUGAACCGCAUGGUUCAACAGUGAAAGACGGUCUUGCUGUCACUUAUAGAUGGAUCCGCGCUGCAUUAGCUAGUUGGUAAGGUAACGGCUUACCAAGGCAACGAUGCAUAGCCGACCUGAGAGGGUGAUCGGCCACCCUGGAACUGAGACACGGUCCAGACUCCUACGGGAGGCAGCAGUAGGGAAUCUUCCGCAAUGGGCGAAAGCCUGACGGAGCAACGCCGCGUGAGUGAUGAAGGUCUUCGGAUCGUAAAACUCUGUUAUUAGGGAAGAACAUAUGUGUAAGUAACUGUGCACAUCUUGACGGUACCUAAUCAGAAAGCCACGGCUAACUACGUG